rnacentral:lncRNA from 1 species
AAUACAUACUUAGUUAAGAUAAAGCACAAUGGAAGAGGAAAUCUAUAUAGGUGAUACCUACUAAUUGGGAAUAAGUUUUAGACAUGGUAGAGAACUUCUAUUAUUAUUAUUAUUGUUAUUAUUGUUAUUAUUAUUAUUAUUAUUAUUAUUAUCUUUUUUUAUUUGCAUUUUAUUUUAGUUUGGUGAUGAUGACGAUAUGAAUUGAGCUUUAAUGAAAGGAAUGAAGAUUCAUAUCGCUGACCCCAACUUGUUUGGGACUGAGGCGUGGUUGUUGUUGCUUCUGCAAUAUGUUUGAAAUAUACGGAAAUUAGCAGAACAUAUUCAUAUGAUUCCAACCAUGAAAUCUAAGGGUUAUUUUUUCGAUUAGUAAAAAGAAAGGCGGGGCUGCAAUAACAAUUGAAGUAUUUGGUCAUUGAUCACUGUAACUGACCAAAGAAAUGAAAUUGCUAUGGAGCAUUUUACUGGAAAGGUCACACCAACUAGUGAAAUCUAUAAAAUUGACACUGUAACUGACCAAAGAAAUGACAUUGCUAAUGGAGCAUUUUACUGGAAAGGUCACACCAGCUAGUGAAAUGUAUCAUCUUCUGAAAAAGAAUAAAAGUGAGACGUUCAAGAUUACUAUCAAGUGUUAUUUGUAUUUACAAGCUUUAGUUUCCUAUUGACGUGUGUAAGUGUAUAUUCAUAUGAAGGUGGACAGUUAUUUUUAAUGUAGUAUUUUAUUUUUACAGUAUGUAAGUUCCUUAUG